rnacentral:rRNA from 1 species
AUUGAACGCUGGCGGCAUGCCUUACACAUGCAAGUCGAACGGCAGCACGGGCUUCGGUCUGGUGGCGAGUGGCGAACGGGUGAGUAGCGUAUCGGAACGUGCCCUAGAGUGGGGGAUAACUAGUCGAAAGACUAGCUAAUACCGCAUACGAUCUACGGAUGAAAGUGGGGGAUCGCAAGACCUCAUGCUCCUGGAGCGGCCGAUAUCUGAUUAGCUAGUUGGUGGGGUAAAAGCCUACCAAGGCGACGAUCAGUAGCUGGUCUGAGAGGACGACCAGCCACACUGGGACUGAGACACGGCCCAGACUCCUACGGGAGGCAGCAGUGGGGAAUUUUGGACAAUGGGGGCAACCCUGAUCCAGCAAUGCCGCGUGAGGGAAGAAGGCCUUCGGGUUGUAAAGCUCUUUCGUCAGGGAAGAAACGGUAGUAGCUAAUAUCAAUUACUAAUGACGGUACCUGAAGAAUAAGCACCGGCUAACUACGUGCCAGCAGCCGCCGUAA